CAAAAACGGAUUCAAUAUUUAGAGUUAGUGCACGAGUUUCGAGCUGAAAGUAAUGGAUUCAGUUUAAUCUGCCCUAAUUCUGCAUGUGACAUCUACGCGCACCAUAUAUUACAACAUUAUCAACUGCGAUAUUUCAACGGAAAAAGAGGAUAAUGUAACAAGAACAGACAGUAAGUAAUUAUUUAACAAGAACAAUUGCAAAAAGUCCUAUUGUUAACACUUAAUCUUCAGUAAACUUCUAGUAACAUCUUUAACGUGAGACUGAAAAAUACAUGGUUAAUAGAUCUGCUAUAGCAAUUUUAUAACAUACUAAUCCAAUAAAGCAAUAAUAUAAAGUAUUAAUUUUUUCCCCCCUAAGAUGUUGGUAAGAGUGUCAAUAUGUUCAUGGCCCACAAAGUUAGAUUACAGGUUUUUCAUAAUUGAAAUAAGCAUUUCAAUCACGUUUGUUGUUGACAAAUAAUGCCUGUCAUGUUCUGUGGUUGAAAUUCAAAGUCACGUUUGCCUCCUUCUCCUAUAUAUUUAUUUAAACGAAACUCAAACUUACAAAACGUUGAAACAAAAGAAAUCCUCCUCACAGGACACUUACAACUUCUCCAAUAGUAGAGUCACCAAUGCCUCCAAAAGAGUAACAAAUUGAAAGAAGUCAUCAAAUAUUAGAGUAAGCUGAAGACGAUGCCAAGCUGAUGAAGAAUACAGACGUCUUUGCAAUGCCUAAUCGUCGUCAACUAGUUUUAUGGUAACGUUACACUAUCACUAGCCACAUAAUAUAAUAAAUACAGUAGUACGUGUUAUGUUACAUUAUAUAAACUAGUAUCGUUCAAUAUUUAAACCCAAAUUUUUUAAGAAAAAAAAUCAAUUUUGAUGAUUGUCACAUUUAAUUGUAUAUACUCAGUCACACAUCAAAACCUCCAAAAAAUAAGAGGAGAAUAAAAUAUCUUUUCCUUUAAUGUCUUGCAAUUGAGGAAAAGAAAAUAUAUUUCAUAAACGACUUCUUGACUGAUGAAAUAAAGCCUAUUUUGUGGCAGUUAGGAUUUGACUAGCAGCUGAUGACUUCAUAAAUAAACAACAACAAAAAUUGUCUGCUAUCACUUUUGAAAAUGCAAUUUGUCAGCCUUGUAAAAUUUCUUGCAUUAUAUAUCUAGUGAUUAAUUUUGUGGGCCAAGCUAGCUAGUGUCUUCUUUUUGUUUCUGUUUUUUCCUUUAAGCAUGCAGAAACAAGUACUAACAAAGUGGUUAUCUUAACCUCAUGUCAACAUAUAAUAACUUAAUAAAUUAUUAAAAAACAUAAUUUUAAUUAGUUAAUUGCAAUUUAUAUCUUAACACAGGCUAGCAAUUUCUUAUUGGAUUCUAGUUUUUCAAUCAUGGUGUUAAAACACUGACGAUCUUGUUUUUACAUACUAACUAUUUUUUGUUAUGUUUAACUAUCUUUGUAUCCCAAGCCCAUUAAUUCGACUAGUUUAGAUUUGUGCCAAGAAGGUAAAGCACAAGUUAUCAAGAAAAUCUUCAUUCUUAUCACUCAAAUUCAAGAUAUCUAAUGGUGGAGAGAUCACAAUCAUCCAAUGGAAUUAAUCAUCUGUUGAUGUUAUCAUGCAUGGUCACGAUUUGUACCUCCGCCAGCAGUGCACAAUUCUAGAAUGAUAUUUCCUUGCUCUUAAAAGGCACCACGGUAUACUAAGCUUUCGCUAUGCGUGGGAUUCCGGUGCACUAAGCUUCGGUUAUGCAUGAGAUCCCGGGAAGGGUCGGACCAAGAGACUAUUUUUACGGCUCGAAUCCGUGACCUUCUGGUCUCAUGGUAAGAAUUUUACCAGUUAUGCAAAUAUGCUCCCUUUCGAUAUGUGUGAGAUCUCGGAAAGGGCUGGACCAAGAUGUUAUUUCCACGGCUCGAACUCGUGACUUUCUGGACACAUGGUAACAACUUUACCAGUUACACCAAUGCUCCCCUUUGAUAUUUCUUUUGUUUUAUUUUAUUUAAUAUCAUUUGACUAGGAGUACUAAAAACUAACUUGUACUUUAUAUUUACACUAAAUCAAUAGGUACAUAAUAUGUGUUUAUAUAUACAAUUAUUUCACUUAAUUAUAAUUAAUAUUACGGUAUAUAUUUGGUGCAAACACCUACUGCAGCUAAAUUUUUACCUUUAGACUAGGUAUAAAGCAAAUAUUAAAUUAAUGUAGACAUAAUUUGAUAGAAAAUAUCAUACAAAAAUUAAAGAAUAAUAAAGCUAAAGGAAAAUGUGAUUCUUAAAAGUUGUGUUAAUAAUAUUUUUAUAUCUCAUUUUUGACACUAUCAUUAUUUGGGAGUCAAAAGUGCUUUUUUCUUGACUAUAAUUUAAAUAUUUGGACUUAUUAAUUAUCUUAAUUUAUACUCUUUUUGUUUUAAUUUGUUUUAUUUGUCUUACUUUGACUUGAAACAAAGUUUUAAUAAGAGAGGAAGACUUUUAAACGUGUGGUAUUAAACAUGCUUUAAAAUUUGUGUGACUAUAAAGCUUUUGAAACUUAUGAUCUUAAAUAAGUUAUAAUAUUUGUAUGGCUAUAAUUAAGGAAAUAUAUGAAUGUGUAAAUUUUUUUUGGAACGAACUAAUAAGAAAAUAGUGUCAAUCUAUUGAAAUGGGAGGACUAGUACUUUUCACGUAUGCAGUUUUAAAUAUGAAAAUUUUAUUUUAAAAAACCUUAUAAAUCUAUGCCCGGAUUUACACAAAAAGGAAGUAUUAGCAGUAGAAUGAUACCAACGUACAUGUCGAUACAUAUCAAAAUAGAAAGAGUAUCAUAACAUAUGGAAUUAACGCCAUGCAAGAUAAAAUCCAAAAAUUUCCAUCCCCUCACCCCCUCAAUUUUUCUUAGCUGUUUUUGGUUUAUUAUUGAGUUUGUACAGUACUAUACAAGGAAUAUUAUGGAGUACCAUUAAUUCUACUAAGUUUAAAGGUAUUAAUUGAGGAAUAAAACACACCAUCUCACGUGCACUAUGCAUGCAUGUCGAUCGUACGGAUAGCUAAGGCUACUAACUUUGGAAAAAGAAAAGAGUAGGUAAAAUAGAAGAAAGCUAUGCUGCAUUUGCCUAAAAAUAUGGAAGACGA